rnacentral:sRNA from 1 species
UCCAAUUUAGGGCUUUGCAGGGGCUCCCUCCAGGGCUCUCUCAAUGGAUUUAUAUCACAGCCAGAUAGCAUCUUCGAAAGCUCAUCUGAGCUGGAAAAUAGAGAAACAUCCUUCUCCAUUGUCAAGUGACAAGCGAUGGUACCCAGGCUGCUGACUCUUCAAUCCUGCAAAUCUUGAAACAAAGACUUCCCUGUCCUCUCGGCUUGUCACCUGUAGGCAUGAAGAUGUCAGCUCCCUGGCCAACCACCAGGUAUGAAAGCUGCCCUACUGCGUGCACCAGGUGGGGCUCCUCUUAGUUGUUCCUGGAUGGGAUUAUGACCCAGAGUGAGGAAGUGCACUGCCCACAUACCUAAGGAUCUGCUGCUAUCAUCCGGGGCCUGAAAAAGGGCAAAGGGACUCUGUUGCUAUCUUUAGACCUGAUUGCUGGCUGCGAUACCAGCCUCUAGCCAAGGGUGUUUGCAGUCCUAGAGCGUUCUUUCCAAAUAGGGAACACCAAGGAUGUUUGCAAACAUAGAAUGCCUUUUUCAAAUCGGACCAUCAAACUCCACCCUCUGAACAGUUUCACGUACUUCUUGGUGUCCUGUGACUUCAUUUUGUCCCAGUCCUGUUCUAUAAGAGCCCUCAGUGUCUGAGAGCUUGCCCCAAAGCAAGUGCACCAGCUCAGACCUGGGGUGGGGCUCCUGUAGUGUGCCAUUUAGGUCUGUGGAGAAGAAGCAGCUGUGUGCAUCUGGACCCUCAGUGCUGUUUCUACACACAGACUCUGAUGCCAGGGUUCUACAGCCCCCUAUAAGACGUGGUCCACUUAUACCUUGCAGAUGAGGAAACCCAGGAACGGGCUGGAGAGAUGGCUCAGCCGUUAAAAGGCUAGGCUCACAACCAAAUAUAUAAGAGGAAACCCAGGAACUAGAAGAGGAAGUGACUGACUGGCCAUGGUGUGAGGCAUGGAACAGGGCAAGAGAGCAGGCUGUUCAAUCAUAGACUCCGUCCUUCUCAAUGUGACUGUGACUGUCAAUGUACAGGUGCCGGGACCUCAGGAGGUUUCCAGAAUGAAGGAAUCUGUGUCUAUGUCUGCUGUCCAGGCCUGCAGCGAAGUGGUGACCAGUGGAGAGGCCAGGUGGUGUAGGGGCUGCACCCAGCUUGCUGCUCGGUAUAAAAUGGAAAUUUGGAGCUGUUUGCAGGUCUUCUCACCCCCACACUGAGAAGGGAGCAGGCAGACUUUGCGCCUGAAGACAAGAACACAGUGCUGGGUAACACAAGCAGCUGGUUCUUAUGUAAAUAUUGACGGAGUUGCUACCCCGGUCCUGGCAGUGGGUGGGAGCCCUUUGACGGUAAGAGAAUGCACCAUUGUGGUCCAUUGUGAGGUGUGGGGUGAGUAGGACACAGGGCUAAGUCUGAGCACGACAGAACUGUGGGCUGAACAGGAUCACCAUGUGGGCCUCCACUUGCUCCUUACUCCAUAUCUACCUUCUGCAGAUCUCUCUGGCAUCCCUGGAGCGGGCCUACCUGUAUGGGAUCCACCUCAGCGGAUAGCCAGCAGCAUACCAGGUUCCUGCCCACACAGUGCUCCUGUUCCUAUGCUAGGUCUCCCUCCGGACCCUUGCUACAGAUCCUCUGCAGCUUGCAGCCCACUGGCUCCUUCCCAUUUUCCUGUCCAGCCCCUCCCCUCGUUCAUCUUCGGCUGGGUUCACUGCGCUGUUCAUUGCUCCUGGCAUUUCUGGCCUGCCCAGGAUGCUCUCAGCCUGGGAAUGCUCUGAGCUCUCUGCCACCAUUCUCAGCUCCAGGCUCAGGGCUCAGUCCCUGGAGAGAGGUCUAGACUCUGGCCAUGGCCUCUCCAUGUCACCAGCAGCAGGUGGGCUGGCCGUCACAUGGGCCAGUGGCCUGUGAUCCAUCUUCUCCUCACAACCCAGGUUUUCUCAGUCAAUGGUUUCCAUUUCCUCCAUGGAACUGCUAGGAUCAAAGGCUGCCCGGGAAGCUCGUUGACUGGCCAGGGGAUAAACAUGUGCACUGGAGGCCAACCCAGGGCCUGAAGGACAACCCACUACGGGGUUGGGGGGGGCAACAUGGCAGUGUGUUGGAUCAGGACUAGGUGGGUGGGAAGGGCAAAACACCUGCAGGCUGUGCUGUGGUCACUUUUGCAUGGCUGCCACAGUCCAAUGUAGGAUGAGCUACUAUGUCAUAACCAUCAGGUAUAGCACCUGCACCUGUCUCCUUCCCUCCCUGCCCCCUACCAUCCCACCAGCUUGCCCAUCAGACAGACACCUGACAGGCCCUGUACUGGGCACACAAGGCUAGACUUCCAAAGAGUAUGCCCUGCCCAAAGCAGAGAGUUGCCGAGCUAGGCAGUAGGGCCUAGAUUAUGGGACCAGCCACAUUUAGGUCGUCCCCAAGUCUUUGCUCUUGUUUUUCAAGUGACUCAUUGGGGAAAUUUUAGAUGAUUUGGUCACUGAAGUACAAAGUAGAAAAUGAGGUUUGCAGCUGUUGGGCCUGUUGGUUUUUCCAUUUCCUUUCUAUUUGCCCCAUCAGGCAGUUGGCUCAGGGAGGGAACACCUGGAUGGGCUAGUCCUGGCAACCCCGGAUGAAGAACAUCACUGGUGGUGAGUGAUCUGUGGUGCCAACAGCAGGAGGGGAAAAAGAAGGAGGAGGAGGAGUAGGAAGGGGAGGAGGAGGAGGAAAAGGAGG